rnacentral:rRNA from 1 species
GAUGAACGCUAGCGGCAGGCUUAAUACAUGCAAGUCGUGGGGCAGCAGGGGCGUAGCAAUACGUUCGCUGGCGACCGGCAAACGGGUGCGGAACACGUACACAACCUUCCUUAAAGUGGGGAAUAGCCCGGGGAAACCCGGAUUAAUACCCCGUAACAUAAUGAAGUGGCAUCGCUUUAUUAUUAUAGCAGCAAUGCGCUUAAAGAUGGGUGUGCGACUGAUUAGGCAGUUGGCGGGGUAACGGCCCACCAAACCUACGAUCAGUAACUGGUGUGAGAGCACGACCAGUCACACGGGCACUGAGACACGGGCCCGACUCCUACGGGAGGCAGCAGUAAGGAAUAUUGGUCAAUGGACGCAAGUCUGAACCAGCCAUGCCGCGUGGAGGAUGAAGGUCCUCUGGAUUGUAAACUUCUUUUAUCUGGGAAGAAAUCCACGAAUUCUUUUGUGGUUGACGGUACCAGAUGAAUAAGCACCGGCUAGCUCCGUGCCAGCAGCCGCGGUAAUACGGAGGGUGCAAGCGUUAUCCGGAUUCACUGGGUUUAAAGGGUGCGUAGGUGGGUUGGUAAGUCAGUGGUGAAAUCUCCAGGCUUAACUUGGAAACUGCCAUUGAUACUAUCAAUCUUGAAUACCGUGGAGGUCAGCGGAAUAUGUCAUGUAGCGGUGAAAUGCUUAGAUAUGACAUAGAACACCAAUUGCGAAGGCAGCUGGCUACGCGGAUAUUGACACUGAUGCACGAAAGCGUGGGGAUCAAACAGGAUUAGAUACCCUGGUAGUCCACGCCCUAAACGAUGGAUACUCGACAUACGCGAUAUACUGUGUGUGUCCGAGCGAAAGCAUUAAGUAUCCCACCUGGGAAGUACGAUCGCAAGAUUG